CCUCCGCCGGCUGUGGGCGCGCGAGCGGGCCGGGCGGCGGGUGCGGGCCUCGCGGCCACGGGCUCCCCGCCGCCCGGCUCCCGCGGCCGUCUGACGGCGGUCCGCACCGGCGCGCGGCUGUUGGACCCUGGCUUUGCUGCCUCGAAGCCGAGGAGUGUCUGCUCGUUCAGAAAGCGACUCGGCGCCUGCUCUUCCGCCGUUGGGGCCGCGGUGCCGGCGCUGGGGCGGUGACAGCCCUCCGGGAAGGGCCUCUCCUCCGAGGCCGCCGCUGCCUUGGCCUCCCCCAGACAUCUCAGGCAGAAGUGGCCCCUCGCGCGCUCGGUGCGCCGCAGAAGCCGGCGUGGCGUGACCCCCGGACGCGGGCGUGGCGGCUCCGCGACCCCCACGAGGUAUUCCCGGGUCCCCUGGCCGCGACUGGCCUCGCUGCGCUGGGAGAAGCGGGAAGCCGCCCAGCUCUGUGCACUCUCUAAUUGGGAAAACUUCAAGAAAGGGCCGCAGAGAAGCCACUUCAAUGGCAAAGCAGAGGCAGUCCACAGUGACAGAUUCUUGGAGCAGGACCCAGGAAGCCACCGUGCUCCGCGGCGACAGACAAGAGUCAAACAUUCCCCAGAGGAUGGCCGAGAAGCCCGGAGGAGGGCGGGACUGCGCCCAGUUGCCCUUGGGUUCAAGCCAAGAAGAGAGCCUAGCUGCCCUGGAGGGACCACAGUGAGGCCAGCUGGAGGCAACGCCAAGAGACCCCAUGAACUUCCCUGGAGGAAAACGUCCCGAAGCGAGGGACCAGGGACUCGGGAUGGUUGGAAGCUCUCCAGGCAGGGCCUGUCACCCGGCAAAGCAGAGCAGGUGCCUAGGCGGAGUGGGGGCUUGGUUCCCUGGACUGUGGCUGGCGGGCGGGAGGAGAGCGGCCCGGGCGCAACCGGCAGGAGUUUCCCACCAUGGCAGGGUAGAAAAAUGGACCGCAGCCCCCUGGCCUGGAGUGCCGCGAUGUCGCAGUCCCCGAGUGUAGGAGGAAGUGAAUUACAUGCGUGUGCGCACACGUAAAUAUUUUAUAAACCUCCCCUUAAUUAACCAAAUCAUUUCCAUUAUGCCUCCAAUGUGAUCAACAGCGACGGCGUGAGGGUUUCCAGGGUUUAUAAUUUGAUGUCACCAGACGGUUGCUCGGGGGCAGAGGUACCGUCGCUGCGCCAGCUGCACGCGUAUUUAUUUGUUUUUCUACCGCGUUCCUGUAGGGCCCCAUUAUGCAGCUUUUAAUUAGCUUGUGUGUGUAGUUCACCGUCCCGAAUCAGUGCCAUCCCGGAGCAAGGCGAUGUACAUCCUCGCAGUACAGGUGUAGCUGCCCGCCCCGGAACGCUAGGAAACGCGUGUCUGACACAGGAAUGCGGGGCCGCCACGCAGCCCACCGGCGGCUCUCCGCAGCCAAGAGGCGCAGAUCAAAGCCGGCGGGGACUUCAGCGGCUCCCCCGUGAGCACCGCGGUGGCUGCGGGUCCUCAGGCCCUCAGAGGGAGACGGGCGAGCUCGGCUUGGGGGACCAAGUGAGUUUCCGGCCUUACCCAAGUCCUGAGGUCCUUGCGGCGGCGGCGGCGCGGACCUCUGGCGCGCGUCCCGCUCCGGGCCUGGUGCGCGGGCCGGUCGCGCGGAGAACCGAGCUGCGGAGCAGAGCGCUGUGGCUUCCUGCCGGUCCGAAGAGUCCUGUCACCGGACCCAGGGCGCACAGCCCGGAUCUCCGGAAUCUCGGGGCAGGAGAGCCGCCCCCACCCCGGCCCUUGCGCUGGCUGUCUCUUCCUUCUUGAAAUGACCUCUGUGGAGCGCCUGUAAAUCUAUCCCUCCAGCCACGGGGGAAUUCUUUUAAAGCUUUCUUUUUGGUCAGGAAUAAGAGAUUGUUCAUCUUUAACUAGACCACAUAGAAAUUAUGAUUCAACAACAGUGUGCAUUUAAUUAGAGUAAUCUCACUCGAAUUUAAUUACUUAAUGAAUUAUUUGUUUAAAAGGUACAACGUCUUGUUUGCCAAGUGCGGUGCAGACCUCUGAUAAGAACUUCUGUUCUAAGGACAUUAUAGCUUAAAAGCAGUCAUGUGCUAAGGUUUGCAUUUUAACUCCUUGAGUGUGGAACCGUUAACUGUUGAGGUACUAGUCCAAGGAAAUCUCUGACAUUUACGGGUGCAGAGAAGCUGCACAGCGGUUCCGUUCUGUUGUGUGCACAGGUCCCUUUGGAAAUUAGCAUCCUCUAACUUUUGUCGUGUAAGUCUAUUUUUAAACUUACUUCAUUCCGCUUUUGGUAGGCAGUCUCCUUUUUUCUGGUGCAAGAUGACAGCUGUCUACCAGAGGACUCAUUUUAUUAGUAUUUGCAGCGAAGCGGCACAGCCUUCAGGAAAACUCCUGCCUUGCUCCUCUGGGUCCCUGAGGCAUCCACAGUAGUGGCAGGAAGAUUUUCUGGGCUUAUCGAUCUUCCUCUUCCGGGAUUGGAAGCUACGAAGGCCCAUUCUUUGACCUUAACCCUUCAUUCCUAAACUGUGGAAGAAUUCCACUUCCUCUUGUUUUCCAAAAGCAAGCCAUGCCAUCCUUUCCAGGAGGCUCUGAAGUUGACUUGUCUCCGGGUGAUGUUAAGGAUUGACGGAGGCAGCUAAUGCAAGGUUCAUAACCAGGGGCCACGGAGGAGGAGGGUGACCUGCUGGGAUUCUGACACGAUUUCUGUGUCUUCUGUGGUUAGGUUGCUGUAGAAGCAGACAGUUUCUUUUCCUCCACUAACCUGCAUGACGGACAGAGCCUUCUAUCCUGGCAUGAUGGAAUUUUAGCAGAAAAUGCCUGUAUUGGGUGAGGGUGGGGGCGGGAAGCCUUUCUCCCUGUCAGUGAGAGAAAAUAGAAACUAGGAACACCUUAAACCCGGAGGACUCAAUUCCACUGUCAUUUUCAUUAAUAUUUCAUUAAUCAAAUAAGUUACCUUAAUGCACAUUUGGGCAUUAAUGCACUAUGGCCACAUAAAUAUUAAAUAUUGUGAGUAUAGUAUCCACCUAAAGAAGGAAUGAGCUUCUAAGAGAAGUACGACGUGUUGAUAAGAGUAAUUAGCUCUUUGUUUCUUUUCAGAAUCCCGGGUGUUUAUGGCAUCUUGUCUUGUCGUGCAAUCGGAGUUCUUAUGGUGGUUGAGUUACCGAGUAAACUUAAUCCUAUUCAGUUAUGGCUACAGGAGCCCCUUUCUUCCAAAGAAUCAGAUCAAUGCAUAUUUUACACUAUUUAUGAAUUUACUUCACAUAUUCUACCGAGUAACAACGGACAGUAACAACCAGAAAGGACAUGAGAUAAUAACUCAGGAAUGAGAAUACAUUUCUCAGAUCUGAGCAAAUCCAAAGACGAUUUGCUAGUAAAACCCUCAAAGGGAAUGAUAUGUGUGGGAUGGAAAAAGGUGAAACACUAAACGGCAUAUUUGUGUUUGACUCCUGGAGAACUGUUUGAAAUUUCGACCAGAUAGGAUUCUACCUCCCAUGACUUCCUAGCAGCCCUCAAUCACUUAUAUUAUAAAAGAUUCAAUCUACCUACUGGAAAUACCUUUUAGAAAUAGCAGUUGGGAAACACCCACCCACACAGCGUCCUGGGCAGAAAGUGUGGUGCAUUCCGGCUUUCACAGACUGUGUGCCCCACGAGUCACUGGCGUGUAGGUUAAAAUCGCCCCACUGAAGGGACACCUGUGCAACAAACACGCCCAACACAGGACGUGUUGGGAGCUCAGGGGAAGGUUUCUCUAGGUUUGGAAGAUAUUUUGGUCUAGCAGCAUUUUCCAGGACCAUUCUUGUGGAAAAACAAAAUCCAGGACGCAUGGAGUUGUACCAGUCUCCUCGGAUCUGUUUUCUCCCCUGCCGAGAUGUCCUCUGCUCCCCUAUGGAGAUGGAAGCCCAUCUCCAUAGCACAUCACUUGUUCGAUUUCGGGGCUGAAAUGCUCCUGCUCAAGCUGGAGAGGGUUGAGCAGCUCCAGUCUCUUGCCCUCGUCUCCUAGAGAAGUCCAUGUGAAUGCAGCCUGCCGUUUCCUUAGAAGGCGGAGAACUCACUACGUGAAAUAUUGGAUUUGGCCUUGGUCUGGGUUUGUCAUUAGUACUCAUCAGUGCUUCUACGUUUCAACCCUCCGUCUGAGCCCAGAACUGUCUCUUCACUCCCAAACCCAUCUUUCAUUCCUGGUUUUAAAAUCCAGCUGGAAAACCCACAUAUAAACCUAGAAUUCUAAAACUCUGAAGCUCUUGGAAAAUGUCUUAAAAUGUGUGGACCUUGCCUAGAAAUCUUUUGAUUCAUUAGGUAUGGGGCUGGAUCCAACUUACGAAUUUGAAGUUUUUUAAGUACGGAGGUAACUGGGACUUAGUUGGUUGAAAAAACACAUUUCAUAAAAAGGAGUCCUCGAUCUACACCCGGUUUGACUUUUUAAACCCAACAAACUUCACUGUGCUCUCUGCAGACCCCAAAUCUGACUCACUCUGACACCCCCCUUCACUGAUACCACCCCUGCGUAAGGGCCUCCUCCUUCUCAGUUCACUCCGUCUCUGUCUUCUUUGCCCACCUGCUAACCUCCCUGCUCUCAUGGGCUCACCCCAGUAGGCAUCCUCCGUGGAAUGCCUGGCUUUUUCCUGUGGGCCCCCCACAUCUGUAUCAAAUCCAAACUCAGCCGUGAGCUACAGACCCAAAUAUCCAUCUACAUGUGACCCUUCUCCACCGGAAGCUACAGAUACGCCAAGUGGCUCUUAGUGCCCCUGGGACUCCGUGAAGCGGCCGGACUCCGGCCACCCGGGCUCUGCCUCUGUCAGCUGUCCGCCUUCACUUCUGUCCUGUUCAACAUCCAUAGGUCCAGUGAUGGUGUGUGGAACACGCGUGAUGCUCCUGGCUCCAGGGCAGCUCUGUGAUGCUACAGUAGAUGAGGAACAGAAAAGGUGGUUGGGUUCCUGUCCUCAGGGAGGUGCCAGUGACAUGUGACUUUGCAGAGGUCCCGCUGCACCUCUCCUUCUGCCCCGGCUCCGCUAGUGAGGACUCCGUACACCGCCCCACCGCGUGUGGGCACACUCAGGGCCUUUUUGGCUCUCAGAUUCCAUCUUCUCCAGGAUCUAGGUUGGACAAGAAAUUGCAUGGUGACCCUACCCACCGGCACUGUUCCACGUCCGCAUCGUCAGCUGACUGGAUUGUGGGCACGGCUUCCUAAAUGACCUCCUGCCUUCAGUCUGGUGCAUUUUGAUGUCUCCCGUUCUGCUGCCAGUGACCUUCUGCCAUCACAGCUUGGCCCAGUGAUUAUCAUCGGCUGCUGGUGACCCCGGAGGUCCCGCUGCCCACAUUGUGUGCAAGGUGGCAGGUCGUGUGGCUCCCGUUCCCUUUUCCGAUCCAGCCUCAGCCUCCAUCAGGAAGCCAUGAUUCUCCAGAUGCCCUGUCCUUCCGGAAGCUUCCGACCCACAUGCCACUGAGGGCCCUGCCUUCCUCUUUCUCCUUGCUUUCUUACUGUGAUGCAUCUUAACAGAUUUUUAAUUUUAUUGGUAGCAGUAACAUGUAU